UAGGGAAUCUUCGGCAAUGGACGGAAGUCUAACCGAGCAACGCCGCGUGAGUGAAGAAGGUUUUCGGAUCGUAAAGCUCUGUUGUAAGAGAAGAACGAGUGUGAGAGUGGAAAGUUCACACUGUGACGGUAUCUUACCAGAAAGGGACGGCUAACUACGUGCCAGCAGCCGCGGUAAUACGUAGGUCCCGAGCGUUGUCCGGAUUUAUUGGGCGUAAAGCGAGCGCAGGCGGUUAGAUAAGUCUGAAGUUAAAGGCUGUGGCUUAACCAUAGUACGCUUUGGAAACUGUUUAACUUGAGUGCAAGAGGGGAGAGUGGAAUUCCAUGUGUAGCGGUGAAAUGCGUAGAUAUAUGGAGGAACACCGGUGGCGAAAGCGACUCUCUGGCUUGUAACUGACACUGAGGCUCGAAAGCGUGGGGAGCAAACAGGAUUAGAUACCCUGGUAGUCCACGCCGUAAACGAUGAGUGCUAGGUGUUAGACCCUUUCCGGGGUUUAGUGCCGUAGCUAACGCAUUAAGCACUCCGCCUGGGGAGUACGACCGCAAGGUUG
rnacentral:rRNA from 1 species